GGUGAAGGUUAAGGGGAAGAGACAAGCAUGGACCUGAGUCGUGGCGACGAGCAGUCGAGAGGGGACGGGGUAGAGCGGCAGAAGUUACCUUCGCUCCACCCGGGGCGAAGCGUCGUGCCGGACGAGGCGACAACGAGCGGGGUCCCCGCAGCGACUCCGGUUCCCGUAGGCCGCUGGUGCGCGGUGCUUCCCGACGCGCCAAGACGCGGUACCGGCGCCGCUUAACCGCGUCCUAGGCCGCCCGAAGGCCGCCUCCGCAGCCUCCUUCUCCGCCACGGCCUCCUCCUCCACCACAGCGGCCACUAGGAGAUAGAGGAGAAGAAGUUGGAACUAGAACUACAAGUUCAGCCCCUACCUCCUCAUCGGCGGCCAAGGGCGACAGCGUCCGCAGCUCCUACCCUAGGCCCUGCCCCGGCAUAGGUCCUCCCUACUUCACGAGGCCGUCAAGCAGACUACCGCAGCCUCUGUCGAAGGCGCCACCACGCGGGCAUGCGCGACCCGUACUAAGCUUGGGCACGGCAUGCGUCAUGCCCCCGUCUCCGCCACCGCGCUCAAGCGUUCCCUUGUAGAGAAGAAGAGGCUCCUUACCGCGGCUACCUGGAGGUUCCUCGGUUAGGUAGUCUCCCUACCACUUCUGUCUACCGCCGCCUCAGCAACCAUGCUACAUCAGCAGCCGCUACCGGCCUCGGCCUCGGCUUCCGGGUAGUACCAAACGUCACCACCAGCCUCGGCUCCCAGGUCGGACCACGUGGCAACCACGAGCGGGUGCCUCGCCCGCCAACGGAACCGCACGCAUGGGUGCCGUCGCCAAGACCGCCACCAAGGUCCGCUUUUUCGCCGCCGCUCCCGGUGAGGAACGUGGUUCAGGGGCUGCCGCUGCCGCUGAACGUCGUGCCACCGCUACCCACGUACCUUUCGCUGCUAAGAAAGAGACCUCCUUCGCACGUUACCGCUUUCGUUCGCUGCCGUCCUGUUGAACCUUGUUGAACACACAGGGAGAGUCUAAGGAUGUCUUCUUUCCUACGUAAAAGAAAAGAUAACCUACCUGUUGUUGUAUUGGUGUUGUUAUCCAGAUAGUCUUCUUCGUCCUCGCUUCGUUUCCGUCCUAAGGUACUACUCAAACCUCAAAUGGGAGACAAGAACCUUUAACUUUAACAGAGAGUACGCUCGCCGCUGGAAAAGAAUCGGUACACCGUACGGCGAGGUUCGGUGAGGCGAAAGGUAGUUACGGCUGUUGGUGUCGUCCCCACCUAGGUCGGCUGUUCUCCGUCUCGCCGCCAGUUACCACCACCGGACGAGGGUUCGACGUCACGAAACCUCUUCUACUUGUACUCCGGGGUUGGACGUGACCGUAUCGAUCCGUCCCCUCAUAGGAAGGUGAACUGUAAAGGAAGAGUCAAAACAUACAAAUUAAAAAUCUCGACACCAAUGAGACUUUUGACUCUACACCUCUAACGCCAUAACUAGAAUCAAGUUAGGUAAGAUAAUGCAUCGGAGCGAAACAAUAGGUACUAAAGGGAGUAAACUAACUAAACUGUGUACAAGUAAGUGAUGUAAUAUCAGAUGAAGCACAUAAAUCAAGAUCCAACAAAACUAGAUUCACCAUGAACCUAAAGAACCGUAACAAGUAACGGAGCUCGGUACAGACUAUGACUUAAACUGGUACUAGGAGAACAUCAUUUAUACUGAAUAAACGAGAGAUAACCUUAUAAAGAAAAGUGUAUAACGAUCGAGGAAUCCACAUUACAACAAAUUUUAUAAACAGGACCUCGAGGAAACGAGGACAAGAACCACAUCUAUUUGGUUUUGACGAGGAAAAUCCGGUAGGUUCUCAGAAUUUGCUGGUUGUAACAUUAAUCGUAUACACCUGUCAAUGCGAUGUUACGGGGGUUAAUAAAAAGUCACUAUUGAGAACGAGGUUUAAAACGAAAAGCCCUCCACCAACUCCAUCUCUAACAACACAACACCGUCACGUGUGAUGCCACGGCCCAACGUAUCCCCGUACGGGAAAGAAUCAUAAGUUUAUAGUACAUGAUUAACACAAAAGUGAAACAUAACGAAUGAGUGUCUACAGUGGCCUUCGCAGUACCAAUAAAGAAUUCGAGUGGUUUAUAAAGAGAAGUAUAAAACAUACAGACUGUUGAAGGGCAAUGUGUCAAGACGAAAACCGACCUGUUCGACAGAUGAGAGACCAGAUAAGAAUUUAUCCGUACAACCAGAAAAGAUUGUAUUGGUCGGACGGUAAAGAUAAUGAGCGUCUUGUAAAGUGAAAGACAGUUAUUCGUAAAUAGAGAUAAGAUUGAACCACAUUUCAUCGGAACUACUACACACCUCCGCCAGACGAGUCACAUUCUUGUUUAUCAACCACCGAGGGUAAAAAUAGAGUAAAGCAUUUAGUCACUGACAAUCAUUCCAACUAGUAGCCGUUCGCUUUCACGAAGCACCUACGAACGUGCUGGUUCGGGAAGUUCGAGGGUCUCACGUUUGUGGUACUCUAUCCCUACACUUUGCCUUCCUUUCUUCCGGGACUGGUGAGAGUAGUAAAUGAGUUUAUUAUUGUGAAUAGCCGCUAUCCUUGCUGUUCAACUGCGUCGCUCUGUUCACAUACCUUUUAAGUCAAAGAAAUCACUUGAGUCAACUUGGAACGUUAACCUGUCGAAAACCCUCAACCAGGUUUGAAUUACGUAAGUACCCUAGUGGUUAAAAACCGCUACCAACUCUAACCUAGCAAAGAACCACCGACGAUUACUUAGUACAUUCCUACCACGUCUUAAGUAGUCUCCUUUUUCUGGCUUGAUGCCUCAAAGGGGUAACAAUCUCGAGAACCACGGGCCUGUUCGGGAGAUAGAGCUAAGAGGGAAGCGUCGAGUCGAGGUGGCUGGUCUUCCGCUACCGACUGCUUCUCGAGCUACAGGUACCGAGCAAUCCAAGGCGACCGAGGUGAUUGUUGGCAGAUGCCCGCGAACGUGUCCUAUGGUUCGCUCACAAAUCCUAGGGUGUGGCCCGUAAAGAACUGUACGAGGAUCGUGUGGAAUGCGAUUAGUGGCCGAGACAUACUAGCACAACAUGUACUGCUGCCGUUCUAACACACUGGUAGAAAAAGUUGUGGAGAUGUAACCUAGAACCUCCUGGUUAGUCAUACUUGCGCAGCACAGCAGUAAGGAGGACCAGAUGUAAUACGGGUUCUGUACGUUUCAACACCUAACAGACAUUCGAUGGUACACGAAAACAUGCAGGAUACGGACACUAUAAACGAUGAUUUGGAUAACACGAUGCACGAAAGAUACAAGUAUGUAACAAUCCACCGAGGAAUAACACACGUAUGUUUGUUUGGAAUGAAGACUAACUAAGAAACAAUCAAAAAAUAAAAAUAGUACCAACUGUCUUAUUAUUCACGUUUUAAAUAAAACGAAUUUAGACCAACGAACCGAC
rnacentral:rRNA from 1 species